rnacentral:tRNA from 1 species
AGGACUGUAGUUAAGUAUAACAUUUGGUUUGCAUCCAAAAGGUAUUGAUUAAUCAAUCUGUCUUA